AGCUUUGCACCAUGGAGUAUUGUAGCCAAUGAGGUUUAUCUGAGGUGUGAUUAUUACUAAUUGAAAACUUUUCCCAAUACUCCACCAUGACGACUUGUAACAUAGUCAGUAUUGGCAAUUUUUGACAGUUUCUAGGGAGA
rnacentral:snRNA from 1 species